AACGAACGCUGGCGGCAGGCCUAACACAUGCAAGUCGAGCGCGCCCUUCGGGGUGAGCGGCGGACGGGUGAGUAACGCGUGGGAACGUGCCCUUCUCUGCGGAAUAGCCUCGGGAAACUGAGAGUAAUACCGCAUACGCCCUUUGGGGGAAAGAUUUAUCGGAGAAGGAUCGGCCCGCGUUGGAUUAGGUAGUUGGUGGGGUAAUGGCCCACCAAGCCGACGAUUCAUAGCUGGUUUGAGAGGAUGAUCAGCCACACUGGAACUGAGACACGGCCCAGCCUCCUACGGGAGGCAGCAGUGGGGAAUCUUAGACAAUGGGGGCAACCCUGAUCGAGCCAUGCCGCGUGAGUGAUGAAGGCCUUAGGGUUGUAAAGCUCUUUCAGCUGGGAAGAUAAUGACGGUACCAGCAGAAGAAGCCCCGGCUAACUCCGUG
rnacentral:rRNA from 1 species